rnacentral:rRNA from 1 species
UACGGGGGGAGCAAGCGUUGUUCGGAUUUACUGGGCGUAAAGGGCGCGUAGGCGGUCAGCACAAGUCAGUUGUGAAAUCUCCGGGCUUAACUCGGAAAGGUCAACUGAUACUGUGCGACUAGAGUGCGGAAGGGGCAACUGGAAUUCCUGGUGUAGCGGUGAAAUGCGCAGAUAUCAGGAGGAACACCAAUUGCGAAGGCAGCUCGCUGGGACGUCACUGACGCUGAGACGCGAAAGCGUGGGGAGCAAACAGG